rnacentral:rRNA from 1 species
GACGAACGCUGGCGGCGUGCUUAACACAUGCAAGUCGAGCGGUAAGGCCCUUUCGGGGGUACACGAGCGGCGAACGGGUGAGUAACACGUGGGUGACCUGCCCUCAGCUCUGGGAUAAGCCUGGGAAACCGGGUCUAAUACUGGAUAUGACUCCAUGACGCAUGUUGUGGGGUGGAAAGCCUUGUGCGGCUGAGGAUGGGCCCGCGGCCUAUCAGCUUGUUGGUGGGGUGANGGCCUACCAAGGCGACGACGGGUAGCCGGCCUGAGAGGGCGACCGGCCACACUGGGACUGAGACACGGCCCAGACUCCUACGGGAGGCAGCAGUGGGGAAUCAUGCGCAAUGGGCGAAAGCCUGACGCAGCGACGCCGCGUGAGGGAUGACGGCCU